rnacentral:rRNA from 1 species
GUGGGGAAUAUUGCGCAAUGGGCGAAAGCCUGACGCAGCGACGCCGCGUGAGUGAAGAAGGCCUUCGGGUCGUAAAGCUCUGUCAUCAGGGACGAACGGCCGGUGGAGUGGAAAGCCACCGGAUUGACGGUACCUGAGAAGGAAGCCACGGCUAACUACGUGCCAGCAGCCGCGGUAAUACGUAGGUGACGAGCGUUGUUCGGAUUUAUUGGGCGUAAAGGGUCCGCAGGGGGGCGAGAAAGUUUGAUGUGAAAUCCUGCAGCUCAACUGCAGAACUGCAUUGAAAACUACUCGACUAGAGCAUCUGAGAGGAGAAUGGAAGUCCUGGUGUAGCGGUGGAAUGCGUAGAUAUCCGGAGGAACACCGGUGGCGAAGGCGGCCACCUGGACAGGUACUGACGCUGAGGCGCGAAAGCGUGGGGAGCAAACAGGAUUAGAAACCCCGGUAGUCC